UGUCAGUAGUCUGUCUGAAUCUUUACCAGUUCAAUGCACAGAUGGCAGUGUCCCAGAAGCCCAGUCAACAUUAGACUCUACAUCUUCAUCUAUGCAGCCCAGCCCUGUAUCAAAUCAGUCACUUUUAUCAGAAUCUGUAGCAUCUUCUCAAUUGGACAGUACAUCUGUGGACAAAGCAGUACCUGAAACAGAAGAUCUGCAGGGUUUGUAUAUGAACUAGCAUGUAUUUUGUUAUUUGAGUAUUAUAGGCCAGACGCUAUCCUAGGUGCAUGUAUAAAAAAAUUGCCAACUUAAAAUACAUAUUUUUCUGUUUUCCUUAUGAACACAAUACUUUAUAUCUUUAAGUAUUUAAUUAACAUGUUGGGGAGCCAUUUCACACUUACAUGUAAUUUUAUCAUCAGCAUAAACGUUGCAAAUUCAAAAUUUGUUUAGUUUGGAAAAUAUAAUUAAAUGAAUGUGUGGCAGUGUUA
rnacentral:sRNA from 1 species